AGCGGAUGACGGGAGCUUGCUCCUUGAUUCAGCGGCGGACGGGUGAGUAAUACCUAGGAAUCUGCCUGGUAGUGGGGGACAACGUUUCGAAAGGAACGCUAAUACCGCAUACGUCCUACGGGAGAAAGCAGGGGACCUUCGGGCCUUGCGCUAUCAGAUGAGCCUAGGUCGGAUUAGCUAGUUGGUGAGGUAAUGGCUCACCAAGGCUACGAUCCGUAACUGGUCUGAGAGGAUGAUCAGUCACACUGGAACUGAGACACGGUCCAGACUCCUACGGGAGGCAGCAGUGGGGAAUAUUGGACAAUGGGCGAAAGCCUGAUCCAGCCAUGCCGCGUGUGUGAAGAAGGUCUUCGGAUUGUAAAGCACUUUAAGUUGGGAGGAAGGGCAUUAACCUAAUACGUUAGUGUUUUGACGUUACCGACAGAAUAAGCACCGGCUAACUCUGUGCCAGCAGCCGCGGUAAUACAGAGGGUGCAAGCGUUAAUCGGAAUUACUGGGCGUAAAGCGCGCGUAGGUGGUUCGUUAAGUUGGAUGUGAAAUCCCCGGGCUCAACCUGGGAACUGCAUCCAAAACUGGCGAGCUAGAGUAGGGCAGAGGGUGGUGGAAUUUCCUGUGUAGCG
rnacentral:rRNA from 1 species